UGGGACUGAGACACGGCCCAGACUCCUACGGGAGGCAGCAGUGGGGAAUAUUGCACAAUGGAGGAAACUCUGAUGCAGCAACGCCGCGUGAAGGAUGAAGGUUUUCGGAUUGUAAACUUCUUUGAUUGGGGACGAAUAAUGACGGUACCCAAAAAACAAGCCACGGCUAACUACGUGCCAGCAGCCGCGGUAAUACGUAGGUGGCAAGCGUUGUCCGGAGUUACUGGGUGUAAAGGGCGUGUAGGCGGGAAGAUAAGUCAGAUGUGAAAUUCCAUGGCUCAACUGUGGCGCUGCAUCUGAAACUAUUUUUCUUGAGUGAUGGAGAGGAAAGUGGAAUUCCUAGUGUAGCGGUGAAAUGCGUAGAUAUUAGGAGGAACACCAGUGGCGAAGGCGACUUUCUGGA
rnacentral:rRNA from 1 species